rnacentral:lncRNA from 1 species
AUCAGUUUAAGAUGUCAUGAAACAUUUAAUUUGAGAUGUUAACUAAAGACUGCUGUUAGCUUUUGGCAACGUGGAGGCCCUAAAGAAGAGCAUCUUCACCUGACAAGUGGGAUCAACAGUAGACUGCAGUGGGUUGAGGCACAAGUGAGAGAUAUGAGGUUGGGGGCAACAUUUAUUGGACUGACAACUUUUUCCAACAUGGAGCUGUGAAGCUGCAGGUUGAUUGAUGGCAUCACAUCGAAGAACACUCUGGGGGGAGCUGUUUAUCCCCAUCUUCCAUCUGGAGCUGCUGGGAUAGAGUUCACUGUGAUGAUGGCUACUGAAUGAGCUGCACUGGCAGGACCUCUGUGACAAGGAAGGAUUGCGGCUAGGGAGCCAGGCCCGAAUCAAAGGAUGUCAAGGAAAUGAAUGGAGCUAAGCAGGAAACAGCCAACUCUUCUCAAACAUGAUGGGGCAGCAAUUCA